rnacentral:lncRNA from 1 species
AUGCUUGAGCCGGGUUCCUCUGGUCUUAUCCUUGUAGGUCUCUCCAUCUGCAUGGGAUCCCUCUAUCAGAAGAUUCUCUCCUUGUUUGGUGUCGCUGGGGCUUGGCGCAAGGCUUUUGAAUUUCCUACUGAAAAUCAAAGCUUACUGCUGUCAGAUAAGAUGAGAAGAGAGAACUGUUGAAGAAAGAAAGAAAAAGGAUGUACUCACAUCCCAACAAAUUGAAAAUGCUGACCAAUCCCAGCACAGUCAACUCGAAUUUGCUCUUUCAUCAAAGUGACCAGCACCUCAUUUCUUCCUCUUUAGAAUUUAUAGGUAAGAGUCAGCAGUCCACUAGGACUCUGUAAAUACAGGGUACACAGAAGAAGCUCUUGUUGGGGGCCACGUUGUCUAGUGAGAGAGGACACGCUACAUUAUCUUAAAGCUUUAAGGUAAAACAUUCCAUUUGUCUUUUUAUUGGGUGAACUGGAAGAACUACUGGAACGGUUGUAGUUACUGAGUCUUCUGGAAUCAUAGUGUAAGUUAGUGAAGGUUUAUACAACUGUGAUUGCAGAACAAGAACAUAAAUGGUGUCAGACUAUGCAAUAUAACAUAAAUGUUCAGAUGAAAAAAAUCAAGUCAUAGAGAGAGGGAAGACAGGUGAUGAAAUAGAUAGGAACUCUAAACCAUGUGCUGUAUAAAGCUAGAAAUCCAGAGAAAAUCUCUAGUUGUUCAAUCAAAAAAUAAAUAUUAAAAUAUGUGAUUUAAAGUUACAAAGGUAACAGAGAUAUAUAUUGUAAUAGUGAUUUAACUCUAGUAGAAGGAAUAGAAGAAGGAUUUUUAGUGUUGUGCAGUUGAAUCCUGUCUUGUUUAGUUGAAGCAGAUAAUGUUUGAAAUGGAUAAAUUUUAAAAUAUAUUUGCAUAAACAUAUUAUUUAGAGUCUUGAACGGAGAAUAGGAGUGAGAAAGGUGAAUUGAGAGAGGAUUGCAUUUCAUUAGGGUUCUCCCGUUUUCCUUGUUCUCAUCUUUCUUUUUUUUAAUAAUGUGUGUACAAAUUCCUCUAAUCAAAUUUAAAAUAUUUAUUUUUAAAAUAUAUUUUUAAAAUUAUAUAUAAUAUAUAGAUGAGAAUAUAAAUGGAAUUAUGUGGAAAAAUAUAUAGACAAAAAUAUAUCAUUAUUCAGUAUGAAAAAGGUAAGGAGGU